UGGGGAAUUUUGGACAAUGGGGGAAACCCUGAUCCAGCCAUCCCGCGUGUGCGAUGAAGGCCUUCGGGUUGUAAAGCACUUUUGGCAGGAAAGAAACGUCAUGGGUUAAUACCCCGUGAAACUGACGGUACCUGCAGAAUAAGCACCGGCUAACUACGUGCCAGCAGCCGCGGUAAUACGUAGGGUGCAAGCGUUAAUCGGAAUUACUGGGCGUAAAGCGUGCGCAGGCGGUUCGGAAAGAAAGAUGUGAAAUCCCAGAGCUCAACUUUGGAACUGCAUUUUUAACUACCGGGCUAGGGUGUGUCAGAGGGGGGUGGAAUUCCGCGUGUAGCAGUGAAAUGCGUAGAUAUGCGGAGGAACACCGAUGGCGAAGGCAGCAUCCUGGGAUAAAACUGACGCUCAUGAACGAAAGCGUGGGGAGCAAACAGG
rnacentral:rRNA from 1 species